rnacentral:rRNA from 1 species
GACAGAGGUCCCGAGCGUUAGGCGGAAUCACUGGGCUUAAAGCGUGUGUAGGCGGAUUGGUAAGUACCUUGUGAAAUCCCACGGCUUAACCGUGGAACUGCUUGGUAUACUGCUUAUCUUGGGCCACUUAGGGGCUACCGGAACAAACGGUGGAGCGGUGAAAUGCGUGGAUAUCGUUUGGAACGCCAAUGGUGAAAACAGGUAGCUGGGAGUGUGCCGACGCUGAGACACGAAAGCCAGGGGAGCGAACGGG